CCUACGGGAGGCAGCAGUAGGGAAUAUUGCUCAAUGGGGGAAACCCUGAAGCAGCAACGCCGCGUGGAGGAUGAAGGUUUUCGGAUUGUAAACUCCUUUUGUUAGAGAAGAUAAUGACGGUAUCUAACGAAUAAGCACCGGCUAACUCCGUGCCAGCAGCCGCGGUAAUACGGAGGGUGCAAGCGGUACUCGGAAUCACUGGGCGGAAAGAGCGCGUAGGCGGGAUAGCAAGUCAGAUGUGAAAUCCUAUGGCUUAACUAUAGAACUGCAUUUGAAACUGUUAUUCUAGAGUAUGGGAGAGGUAGGUGGAAUUCUUGGUGUAGGGGUAAAAUCCGUAGAGAUCAAGAGGAAUACUCAUUGCGAAGGCGACCUGCUAGAACAUAACUGACGCUGAUGCGCGAAAGCGUGGGGAGCAAACAGGAUUAGAUACCCGGGUAGUC
rnacentral:rRNA from 1 species